AUAUUUUUUUGCUUUUCUGAACAGUCUGUAGACAAGUAAUCGAACCAACAAAACUGAUGUAUUUAUACAGACUGAUCCCGAAAUACUGCGACUGUUAGCAAUCUGAAUUUAAAUUUUGAAGGAUAUGUUAACAUUUUUCCAUAUUCCAACGUGGUGAUCUCAUUGACACGUGGAUCGGUGACGUCAGAGACCCUAAAGAUCUGGACAAGGGACGCGGAACGGAGGAGAGGGAACUGCUGCUGGGAGGGAUACGAGGUGGCCUCGGGCACUUGCUCUCGAUCUUAGAAAAGAGCGAUUCAUAUUAAUAAUGUUGUUCAAUAAUUAAAUGUUAGUGAAAUUUUAAUGAACUUUUUUUUGAUAAAGACAAUUGUUAAUAUCAGAAGCGGGAUAGUACGCAAUAUAAAGACCCAGUUUAAAAAUUAGUUAAGAUUUAGUGUUAAGAUGUCAAAAAGACUUCGAAAAGAAAAUCGUCACUCUUCUGGAAGCGAUGAUGAUUAUGAGUAUCAUCGUCGUCACUCUAAAACAAGAGAUCGGUCCUCAAGUAGGGAUGUGGAACGGCGGCAUCGGCAUAAGCAAAAAUCUAAGGGCCGGAGUUUAGGACGUCAUAGUUCACGGGAGCGCACCUCACGAUGCCAGCGGCGGCGACGUUCGGAAAAGAGCGACGUCUCGGCGUUAAGUGAAGCGCUUUUAAAAGGGAUGGGGCAGUUGGUACAAGCGCAAGGCAAAACGGUAACCGAGAGCCACCAUCUGGUAAGUGUUACGUCCAAUUUAGUCGCUGAAUUCAACCCGAUAACCGACAAUGUAAGUGAUUGGUUGGACUCAUGAAUGAAAGUCGAUGAAUAUGCAAAAAUUUAUCAGUGGGACGAAAAGACGACAAUCCAUUUAGCCCUAAAUAAAUUGCGCGGUCCUGCGGCCGAUUGGUUUCGAGGUUUACCCUCUCGAAUUUUUGCGUGGUUGCAAUGGAAAGAAAUGUUAAUUCAAAACUUUCUUCCUAAACGGAAUUUACACAAAGAACUUGAAAAUAUGAUGACGUGUGUACCCAGAAUUGGUCAGAGUUUAUACGAGUAUGCGUUUAAAAAGCUGGCUUUGAUAAACAAACUCAAAUUGGGUAUCACGCCACACGAUAAAGUUAAUCUUAUUAUUAGUAGUAUUCCUGACGAGCAGGUCAAAUUUACGAUUGAAACAGCCGGAAUAAGCGAUCCUUCUGUUUUGGCUACACAUUUAAAAAUGUUAGACGAACAAAAGGGUAAUAAAACUAGUACAAUAAGUACACCAGGACCAAGCCGAGCGGCAAAUACGGGUUCAACGGCAAAUUUUGGCCCAAAACAAGCUAAAUCGAGUAUACGGUGUUAUCACUGUUGGAAUUGGGGUCACCUAAAAAAAGAUUGCCCUUCCAAACAGCAGAAAAAUACAAAAAAGUUGUUGGCAAUUGAACCGAAACAUGUAAAUUUUAUAGGUCAAGAUGAUAAUGAAAACAAAUUUAGAAAAACAUUUUCCUAAACGGAGUUGAAAUCAAAUGUUUCGUCGAUUUUGGAAGUGAAUAUUCUUUAAUUACACGUGCGGCAGCUAAUUCUGUUGCGCUUAAUCAACUUAAGGUAAAGGACGGUAUUUUAUUAACAACAUUAACUGGGAGUAUAAAACCUGAAUUCUUUACGCGAGUUGAAAUUCAAGUUGACGGGGUAAAAAAAAAUAUUGAGCUGUAUGUAGUCGAAAAAUGUGUCAUGGGUGUUGAAGCACUGAUUGGGCAGAACUUUACAGAAUUAUAUGAUGUCUCAUAUCUGAAAAUCGGUAAUAGUUUACGAUUCGAAAACGCCGGAACUACUAUAGGAUCUUCAAUACACUCCAUUAGUGAAGGAGUUUUAAAUGUGGGAGUAAAUGACCCAGAAAUUGUAAAUUCACUUGUAGAGUUAAUAAAUGAAUUCGAAUUUUGCACGGCACAAAAUUGAAAAUGAAAAUCCAGUUGACUACAGAAAAACCUGUCUGUCAUCGACCGCGCCAAUUUUCCGAGUUUGAACGCAUCAAAAUAAGAGAAAUAGUUGAUGAAUUACUUGCUAAUGGCAUUGUACGAGAAUCGCAGUCACCGUAUGCCAGUCCGGUACUUCUUGUAAAGAAGAAAAACGGGCAGUUGCGGUUGGUGGUCGACUACAGGGCCUUAAAUAAAAUUACCGUGCAGGACAAGUAUCCACCACCUCUAAUUGAGGAAUAAUUAAGACGCUUAGCGGGAGGAAAAUUCUUUACAAGCCUAGAUUUAUUUUCUGGGUAUUAUCAUAUCCCUGUUUCAGAAGACUCAAUUCAUUACACUGCCUCUAUAACCCAAGAUGGUCACUAUGAAUUUACGCGAGUUCCUUUUGGGUUGACUAGCGCACCUGCCGUAUUCCAACGCAUGAUUAACACGGCACUUGGACAAUUGCGUUUUUCAAAAGUUUUGAUAUACCUAGAUGAUAUACUGAUACCCGCUCCAACAAUAAGUGAAUCAUUGCAUCUUUUGCGAAUCGUUUUAAAAGUUUUACAAGAUAAUGGUUUAACAUUAAAUUUAAACAAAUGUUACUUUCUGAAAAAACAGAUUGAAUAUUUAGGUUACGAAAUUACAGAAUCAACAAUAAAACCAAGUAAGCGAAAAAUAGAAGCAGUUGAGGAAUUUCCCAAACCAACCAACGUCCAUGAAGUCCGACAAUAUUUAGGGUUGACUGGAUAUUUUCGUAAAUUUAUUUCAGAUUAUGCAAAAAAAUCUAGACCCCUGAGUUGUCUCUUAUUAAAAGAUGCUGAAUGGGAGUGGGGUAGUUCUCAGGAAGAGGCCUUUAAUAAAUUAAAGGUAGCUUUGAUGUGUGCACCGAUAUUGACAUUAUAUGACUCAAGAAAGGAUAUUAUUCUAUACACCGAUGCUAGUCGGUGGGGUUUAGCUGGUAUUUUGGUACAGCUACAUGAGGGUAAAGAAAAAGUUGUUGCGUAUUUUAGUAGGCAGACGGCUCAGGCUGAACAAAAGUAUCAUUCAUUCGAAUUAGAAACAUUAGCUAUAGUCGCUGCUGUCAAGAGAUUCCGUCAAUAUUUAUUGGGUCGGCCCUUUACUAUUGUCACAGACUGUGCUGCAGUUAAGAACACAUUUAAUAAAAGUGAAGUUAAUGCGCGAAUUGGUCGGUGGGUAUUAGCAUUAAACGAAUACCAAUAUACAAUAAUUCAUUGUAAAAAAUGAUAGGAUGCGUCACGUAGAUGCGUUAAGUCGACAACCACUGAGAAACGAAAAAUUUGUUUUAAUGACAAAGGUAGCAGAAAAUGACGUUAUUGGCAGUACAAGAGUCUGAUAAAAAUAUUAAGGAAAAAAAAAUUGCAGGGACGUGAUAGGGCACAGAAUAAAGAUAUCUUUUAUAAUUAUUCAUUAAGAAAUGGUCUUGUAUAUAAAGUUAGUAAAUUUGGUUUGCGAGUAAUGGUACCACGAGUGGUGCGAUAUCAACUUCUUCGACUUUGUCAUGACGAGUCUGGUCAUUUCGGAUUUGACAAAACUUAUGAUUUACUUUCCAGUAAAUAUUGGUUUAAAGGCAUUAGACGCUUUGUAAAAAAAUACGUGAGAAAUUGUCUAAAUUGUUUGUAUUUCAAAUUACCCGGUGGAAAAUCUGAAGGGUUGUUACAUCCCAUAAAAAAAAUACCUAAACCAUUCCACACUGUACAUAUAGAUCACUUAGGCCCUUUCAUCAAAUCCAAAAGUGGAAACACACAUAUUUUAGUUAUGAUCGAUGCAUUCACGAAAUUUAUUUUAAUCUAUCCGGUACGAAAUACGAAAUCAAAAUUUUCUGUAUAAUGUUUAAAAGACAUGAUUAAAGUCUUUGGGGUACCACAGCGUCUAAUUAGUGACAGAGGAAAAUCAUUUACAAGUAAGGAAUUCCAAACAUUUUGCGUUGAAAUCGGUACGAAACAUCAUUUGAAUGCGGUAGCAAUCCCUCGGGGGAACGGACAAGUUGAGCGUUAUAAUCGAACUAUUUUAAACUCUUUAAGCACAAUGGGCGCCUACGAAAAUGAUAAGACAUGGGACGAAAAUAUUUCAAAUAUUCAGUUGGGGCUAGAUGGGACAGUCAAUCAAGCUAUUGGUGUUGCACCUAGCGAGGCACCAAUGGGUUAUCGCGUGAUUUCGCAGGGCAUGCUGGAACCUGAUGACAGGGAGGUGGUUGACGUAACCGAGGUUCGGGCUCGGAUGGAAAGGCAUAACGAUCAUUACCAGGCAGAACAAAAGCAGCGGUUUGAUUCAAAAAGAAAGCCAGGACAUUUAUACAGUGAGGGAGAUUUGGUGCUCAUCAAAAUCACAAGUACCCCGGCAACUGGGGCUAGUCACAAAUUACUCCCAAAGUGGAGGGGACCAUUUCGGAUUACGAAAGUCCUGGGUAAUGAUCGAUAUGAAGUUGCCGAUAUUCCGGGAAGCUGUCGUUCUCGGUUGCGGUACAGUGGAGUGGCCGGGGUUGAUAAUAUGCGGCCAUGGAUCUACUGUGAGUAGGCAGGACGGUCGUACGGCGCCCCUGGCCUGUGACGGUGUAGAGGGUGGUGAGAUCCUCUUGUGGGGUGGCCUGUAUUGCGUCCUUAGUUAGGUUAAGGCAAGAGGAAAUUGCAUGCGUCCUGUUAGAGAGAGUAAAGGGUAAGACUCUCUUGUGGGCGGUCUCUUGGUCAGGGAGUAGUGUACCCUGGGUCGCUGUCGGUACAUGUGAUGGGUGACAUUAGAUUUAAGUAGAUUUAUGUAGACUUAAGAUGCGCCAAUCGAAUACUCUAUUUAGGUUAAAAAUUUGCAUUAGGCAUAUAUAUUAUUUCCUUUGUAUAUUUAACAUAUACAUAACAUGUUUUGAUAAUUAAUUCUAUUUGUAACUUGGCCAAGUUCACAAAAUUUGCAGGAAGGAAACCCUGAGGUAGUUGAACCAGAGCUUCUCCUGAAUUAUAAAUAUGCAUGAAAAUUUGUAUAACUAAUGUUAUCAAUUCGUUUUGUUUAGACGCUUGUUGAGUUUCAGCUCUUCAGAACUUUGGGGUGACUGAGUGAGGCCACUCAAGAAAUCAGGAAAGGCCGAAUGUUAACAUUUUUCCAUAUUCCAACGUGGUGAUCUCACUGACACGUGGAUCGGUGACGUCAGAGACCCUAAAGAUCUGGACAAGGGACGCGGAACGGAGGAGAGGGAACUGCUGCUGGGAGGGAUACGAGGUGGCCUCGGGCACUUGCUCUCGAUCUUAGAAAAGAGCGAUUCAUAUUAAUAAUGUUGUUCAAUAAUUAAAUGUUAGUGAAAUUUUAAUAAACUUUUUUUUGAUAAAGACAAUUGUUAAUAGAUACCAAUAGUGUACACUUCCAGUUAACAAUUCAAUAAUUUAAUCUGAUGCCAACAUACUCAGUUUUUCUGGAUCAUUGUGUAUAUUUGGACAAUGUAUUUACAUAGAUUACUACAUCUGAGUAUGUUUAUGAAAAACAAUGGAGUGUUAUACUCGAAAGUAAAAGUUUUUGGAAAUUGCAGAUUCUAAAAUUAGACACAAAAUGAUGUCUAGCAAUAUCGGUCUGAGUUUUUUUAAAUCGGUACUUUUUUAGUAAUAAUAGAAAAUUCGCGAUGUGACGUAAGCAAUGUCUCGACUAAUGAUGAUUUGUCAGUCUUUCGCUGCAUCCAAUUAACGCUACGACCUACGUUUGGGUUGGUAAACGUCAAAUACAAAUGUCAAAACCGUGCGUUGUCGAUUGUGACUGUGUUGUGUGCUAAUAUUUUGCAGGAGUUUGUGUUUUGGUAAAAUGACUGCUCCUGCAGCACAUCUGAAGUCGUAUGUAAAACAACAGAGGCAGAAAUUAAGAAAAAACGUACGUCUUUCAAGCUAUCUUUGUUGGCCCAGCUUUCUAUCUCAAGUUUUGUGACUGGCUGAUUCAAAAAGGAACAUUGCUGACGUCAGGCCAGGAAUUUUCACCUUUUCAAUUAUUUUUCUCCAAAACGGUUGAGCUUGGCUAUCCGUAUAAAAAUUUUCAUUUUUUAGUAUAAUACUCCAUUCGAGUUAAAUUAAUUUUGCCUAUACAUUUCAGCACGUUAUUAUUUUUUUAAUAAAUUUUUAUUGGAAAGAUUUUGUUUCAUUUUAUUAAGCGAUGUUAAAUGUUUUUGUGCUGUUGCAACUGUUACAGAUGCUUUUUUAUCAAAAUGUCUUGUAGUAGUGCAUAAGUACAGAAACAUUUAACAUUUAUAAUUCUUUAUAUUUGGAAAAUAAAUAAAAUGUCUUGUUUGAGUUUCCCGCUAUUAUCGAGUUAGUUCGUUCUCUCAGGGUUAGCUAGCGCUUUCGCGAAAAACGAGGGGUAGACAGAGAGAUUCGUUUCUCCCUCUCUCUUAUAUUCUAUGGCACUUGGGUGAUGGCUUCGACCAUAUGCGUAUUUAUUCUUUUUUUACUUAACCAUUGGCGUAAUAUCGGCCUCUUUCACACAAGUCACAUUCGCGAAAUGUAAACAAACUUAACCUUUUCCACCUGCCAUCACAUACCAAUUUCGCAUGCGGUCUUUAAGAACUAAGUGCACGCUCUCGGAAGAUCCUACCGAUAAAUUCAAAAUUUUCACUUUUUUAUACAUAGGCCGAUAUUGACAUGGUUCGCGCCAAGAAAACGGACAGGGAGAAGUUGUCUGACUUUCCAACAAUCUCCCUUUUCUGCUGCCGGCUGCGGUACUGGUCGAGUACGGACGCUCCAAUGAUAAUUUUGUGAAAAUUUACCUUUCCGAAUCUCGUAAUUAACGAUUUUCACAUUUUCGUACCGUCCGUAAGUACCACACCAAUUUGCUUCGUCGUCUAGAGGGAUCUACGCUGGAGUCGGACUAGUUCUGGAGCGUUUCUACACCUGUAGCUAUCGGAAAUCCCGGAUCUAUUCAAGCUUUAAAGCGAGCCGUUGAGCCUUCCCUUGCACCAGCACUUCGGCAACCAGUGGAAACGCCUGGACCGCUCGUACCCGUCCGACCUUGAUAAGAAACCAUCGACGAUAAGUAUCUCGUAUUUUAUGUUUCGAUUUCCUUGAAUUCCCGUUGCGUUGGUUUUUUUGGAAACCGACACUUUAGUUUAAUUUUAACUAAUUCAAAUUAAUUUUUUUUGUUUCACUUCAUGCUUUUUCUUUUAUCUGCAGCAGUCAGUAGCUAGCUGCCGAAAAAAGCUACUUGGCGCCCUUAGAUAGACCCACGACUCUGGCUUUCCUCAACCAACCUUGAGUCCGGAGGCGGUGUUCCUAAUAUUCAAAUUACGUAACAGUAUUUAAAAUUCAAAAGUGAAUUUAGUUUCUUCGAUAAGGAUGAAUAAAAUUACGUAGAUUUUAUUCAUCCUUAUCAAAAAAACUGCAUUCAAUAGAGCAAUGCGGUUUGUUCCAUUGAAUUCAGCGGCUCGUUUUCUGUAUUGUACCAUCAUUUAACGAGAUCUAAAGUUUUAAAAUUUUUUGCUAAAAAUUAAGAUAGGUAUUUCUUAUAGUGGAAAAUUUUAUUCAACAAAAAAAUUCAUAACUCGAAAACUAAAAGUCAUAGAGCAAUGCGGUUUGUUCCAGUGAAUUCAGCGGCUCAUUUUCUGUAUUUUACCAACUUUUCAAAUUUUUUUUGGUCAGGUCAAAUACCUUCAUAAAAAGGAAUUUUUUUUUUAUUCACUUCAGCAAAUUUUUAUGGACAUUUAUGUCUUAACAACCCAGUAGAGUCGUUAAAAGUUCAAGAAAAGUAAUUUUUUCGAUUUUUUGAUUUUUUCAAUUUUUGUCGAUUUUGGGUACCAGGAACAUUUAUCUAGCUAUAGCUACGGAACUAUAAGAGAUAACCCCAUAACUAUAUGGGGUUAUCUCUUAUAGUUCACUAUAUACUAAUAUAGUGUAUUAUCGUUGGAAAGCUCUUUUAAUGAUCUAUCUUUUUCAAAAAAGACUUACGUUUUCCGACUGAUAGUUUUCGAGAAAAUUGCAGAUAAGUGCAACAAUUGGUAAAAUUUUAAAAAAUUUAUAACUAAAAAACUAUUGGGAAUUUGGCGAUUUUCCCGACGGCAAUCGAUUUCUCGGAUCAUUUUGCAGAGUGGAAAAUAGUUCCACUUUUUGAAAUAGUUUAGCCGUAAUUGAGAAAAGAAAAGUAGAGUCUAAAAUGUUACUUCUGGGCCAGCUCAUUUGGCGGCUUAAAAAACAAGGCAAAAUCCUAUAAAUUUAGUGUUUUCUCAAAAGUAAACAUUCGAAAAAGAUUUAAAAAACUUACAAAAUGUCUUGUUUUUAGCACCGCAAAAUGGCUUUUUAUUUCUGGACCAAGCCAUUUGGCGCAUGCAAAAAAAAGUAAAAACAACACUAAAUUAAGGAGGAUACUACGAUAUUUGACGUCUUAAAAAUCUAGGCAGAAUCCUAAACAUUUAUAUGAUUUCUUAAAAGUAAACAACCGAAAAAGACAUAAAUUGGAGGGUUUAAAUUUUUCCAUAGAACUUUGUCUUCUUUGUCUACAUCGAUUCUGAAAGCUUUUUAAGUGUUUUAUUUUAUUAAACAUAAUCAAACAUAAGUGUGUUAAAAAAUAAAACAUCUCAAUUUUAUAACAAAAAAUAAACAACAAAAUGUGAAACUAUCAAUAAAGUGAAAAAACAACAAUACAAACUUUAUAAAUAAGUAAAGAUUGCAGAUUAGCCAGUCUUUUCAAAUAAGCAAGUUUAUCUUCUGUCGUUUCAUAUUGUUGCACAGAGGUUGUCACCAAAUCUUGUACAAUUCUAUACUUUCUUUUUUUGACUUCAUUGCGCCCUGCUAGCGCAUUUGCACGAGUCAAUUUAUGGCAGGCAAGAUCCCUUUCGAGACCAUCAAACAAAAACCAAACGCUGACUACUGUGGAAGAUGGAAUUCAAAGCAUUAUGGAACCCUUCACAACAAUUUGUUGUUUUGGGUGUUCCGUGUAAUGCAGCAUCAAAAUGGUUCCAAGUUUUGAUAGGAAACUGAGGAUCUCGUCCGGUGGCGCCUUCAAUGAAUAUCAAAAUGCAUAGUUUUGGAGUUUGCAAUACUAUGCUGUUGUCGGUGGCACCGAAGACUUCUUGCAAGUGAGGUUGGUUUAGGCAUAUGUGCCAAUACUUACUUCUUUUAAAGUAUUAACUAUGACACAGCGAGUGGUAGCACUAAUUGAUUGCAUUUCCUGUCUCAUAUUACUUCUAGCAAUAUUUGCUUGUGCUUUUUGUGGACAUGAAUCGUGGCAAUGGACUAUUGGCUCUUGACCUUGAGUUACCUGGUUAUCUUUGGUUUUCACAAAUGAAUGGCAUUUAAGAGAGCGAUUAAGGCAACACCUCCAAGUAAUCACUCCGUUGUUUUUGCGAAAAGUUAGGUACUCAUAACCUUUGUAAAUUAAAACGUCUUUAUUUUUUUGGGUUUUUGAAAUUCCCAUCACUACUACACUGGAUAGUAAAGAAAAACAUUAAAAAAAUAAUUAUGAAAUCCUACACCUAAGGUUACCUUUUAUUAGUGGUUAUGGUUUUCUCAAGUGGAUAAUUGACAGUCUUUACUUUGUAUUAAAACACCUUAACCUAUCAUACGUAUCAGGGGGUAAUAACUCUACAAUCACAGCAUUUAGGACUGCUCUGCUGCAAUGUCACUACACAAUUUCCCGCGCUUCACAUGCAGUUUUUUAGACAAGCGCUAACCACAGUGGCGUAAUUAUAAUCUGGCAACUCGGUGCAGUGCAUUGGGGCGCCGCCACAUUGGAGGCCUUACAUUGUAAUUUUAAUGAUAAAAAUGCUUUGUUUAAUUUUAAUUUUUGUUAUUAGAUGUAAAACGCAUUCAACAAUUAAUAGUCCAAUACGAACUCGAUUACAAAUUUUGAAAAAUUUUAUAGUAUUCUCUAGUUUCAAAAAAUUGUAAAGUUUUUAUAAUUAUAAUUAUUAUGAUAAUUAUAACUGAAACAAUGAUUAGUUUCACAACUACUAUUUAUUGAUCUCCAAAAAUUAAAUAAGUAAUUAGAUGUGUAUUUUUUAUGUAGCGCUUUGUGAGUUUUGUAUCUUUGCUAUUUUAGACUUUUUAUACAUUAUAGUAAUGUACUUUUACCCGGUACACAGGUGCGCUUUAUUCCAUGCCCGCUUUAUUCCAUGUGCGCUUUAUUCCAUGUACGCUUUUUUCCAUGCGCUUUUUUCUUUGUGCGUUUUUUCCUUGUGCGCUUUUUAAAAAACUUUUUUUUUUUAAAGUUUUUAAAAAACAGACUAAAUGACUUUUUUGGUGUUUUAAUCACUGUUCCAGAAUUGUAAUAUUGUCUUUAUUCCAACCACUUACACUAUUACCGUUUAGUUCAAUUGAUUUAAUAACCUCACAUCACGCACACAAUUAUGCAUAAAAAUAUUAUUUAUUCCGUGCUAAUCAAAAAGCCUAAAUAUUUAAUAAAGAUUUUAUGUUUAAUUCAAUAAUAUACAAUACUAUCUUUGUUAUACCUGGCGAAUUUGAACAAACACAAUUAAAAAACCAAUCACAGAUGUUAAAACUUUCAACAGUGUUGAUCUGUUAACGUUGAAAAACUUUGCUGCGGAGAAUGAUGGAAAAUUUUCCAAAACUACUCUUGUAAGGUAUAACUUUUCUUCAUAGAAUUCUGUUAGCUUGUAACUAACAGUCAAAACUUUUUCUGCUUCGAUAAGAACGGCAUCACACAGCAAAAUCAUACCUGCGGUACCAAACUAACUUACCAAAAUAUUCGUAACAUGAACUCAAUUUUCAUACUUACAAAACAGAAAAACAAAAUCGAAAGAUCAGCUACAAUUUUUUUGGUCGGUACAGAUCCAUAUUUGUGACUCAUACUCGUCAUGAAUAUGUUAUCGAAGUGACAAAGAAGAUGAAGUGUGGUGUACGAAAUGAUUAAAAAUAUUGGCCACUCAAAAAUAUCGUUAAAACUUUCAUUGACAACUUUUAAAAACCUUAAAUUUUUUUGUACUUUUUCAAUUGUUUGAAUUCGAUAUGUGUGAAGUAAUGAGUUAUAAAGUUGUUUGUAUUUUAGCAGAACAAUACUUAAAAUAAAACUCAUGAUUGAAUUGAAGAAAAAUACCAUAUAGUCUUGCACGUACACAAAAUUAUAUUUUUUCACGUAUUCAAGUCCCAUCAAAUCCAAUUUGAAACAAAAUGCAGUUAUUAAAAACACUAAGUCAAAAAUUUGAAUAAGCAAAAAAAUUACGGCAAAUGGAAAACAGUUUUUAUCGACUAAAACGUGAAUUUUUUUGAUUAAAUCUUUCCACUGUAUUCGUUUCCAAAACAUUACGGAAAAUAUUAGAUAAUAAUUAAGUAGAGCCAUAUUGAUAUCCAAAAUUGUGCGUUCUAUGGCUGGAACUGUAGGAAUACUUCGAUAAAAGUCUCUAUUGAUUGUUGAUACAACAAUCGAUAUUGUCAUAAUAGUUGCAAAAAGUAAACCGUACAAUUUUCGCACAAACGUCAUUUCUCCAGUAUUGUAUGAAGGAGUAACUGCAAGAAUGCUGCCGAUACGAAAAAUAAAGCUUGCCAGUUUUGUUGCCAUUUUUCCAAUGACUGAACUGAAGCCAGCACGAUAGCAGUUUACUUUGACACGAUAAUUUCCAGGUUUAGAAUGAAAAACAAAACGAUUAUUGGAAUUUGGCAGCCAUAUGAUUUACAUAAGUUAUGUGUGUUCUAAAGGUAUCAAUUUACUUAAUCAUAGAAAAUGUUGUUUAUAAAAGUAGAGUAACAAAACACUAGAAAUAGAGAAUAAAGCUUCUCCAGUAGUCUAGUAGUAAUUACACGGCUCUCGUGAGAGACCAAUAUUGUACAACAAAAUAUACCAAAAACAAAAACCUGGAUAUGAAAUUGAAAUAACAAAUGUUAAAUCGAUUUCUAACAGUGGACUAUUAAUUAACUGUUCUGACAACAAUAAUAUUAAUAAAAAGCUUGUGCGACGACGACGAUCGUACUCGUUCGUAUAUUUGUUCAAUUUAAAAUAACUUUAACAUAGCUUAUUUUUACAAUAUCACAUUUUCACAAAAAUUCUAUAUUAUUCACACCUUUUAUGUAAAAUUAUUUUUCUAUGGCCAACUACUAUCAAAUAUCAAAAUACUAUCAAAAAGUAUAUAAAAAUAUCAAAAUGUAUUUAUAUUGUUUUCAGUUCAGAAAAAAAUAGCAUUUUGAAAAUGUCAUAGCCAACUAUAAUUCCUAUUUAAAAAAUUACAACUUUAUGUUAUUACAGCUAAACGAAUGGUUAAACAUUAUUAAAUUCCUUGUAAAAAAGUGCCUGUAUGACGUUUUUGUUUCAAAUGUGUAUCUUUUAUAAUAAGGGAGAUAUGAAUUUUUUUAAUUUCGUUUAAAUGUCAACUUUUGUUUAUAAAUCGAAAAGACGAUUUAUAAAAGACGAUAGCGGACUGCGGUUUUGACCAAAAUUAUUUAAAAAAAAACGGACUCGAGAAUGUAUCACUAGUUUUUCUCUAAACCUCUUAGUUUUGGAGAUCUAUCGUACAUACAUUCAAAAUACACCACCCUUACACGAGUUUUGUUGGUAUAGAUACUUAUCUGUCAUAGUUUUCAACAUAUGUAUGUCAAUCUUUUAGUCCAAAUUUUCAUUUGCAGGGCUUCAUUCUAGUAUAGUUUAUCAAAUACGUAUGAUAAUUAUUAAACGGCUGCUUACUUUGACAAAGUUGACUUUGACCAAAUGUGGUAGUUGUAAAAUAAUAAAACAUUACAAUUAAAUAAUUAACCGCAUAAUGCGCUCGCUCGUGUUCUAAACAAUUCUCGUGUAAUAUGGUCUACUACAUUAAUAUUUGAGUGGAUGGAGCGCUGAGAGAGAGAGAGGUAGUAUUAUGAACACAGAGCGAGAGAGGACGCAAUAGAAACUCACGUGAUCAAAUAACGCCCUAGCUUGCUAUGUAAUCAGACUCUUGGAAAUGCUUGCCACAAAUUCGCGAACUCUCAGUCGGAAUGAAGUUGUCGCGUCUAAGGGCAGUUAUCCAUUUUUUUCCAAGAAUAGGAUCUUGAGGAAAUCUGCAGAGCGUGUUAUUUUAAUCUAAUGCAAAAAAUAAUUGUGCUAAUAUUUACGAUUGAAAUGAAACACCUCCUUUCGUUGCCCUUUGUGAACAACCAUACACACAACACGAUUUCACCAUUUUAAGAUUUUAAACAAAUCAUUUAUAAAAUAUGUAUAGUCUGUGAUUUUUAAACAAAAAAGUUUCUGAUCGCACGUACACUUACAAGUUUAAGAAACACUACUGAUAUGAAUUCGUAGAAUUGUAAGGGAUGCUUGGGAGGUCCGAAUGGUUG